rnacentral:misc_RNA from 1 species
UUCAAUUCUCGGAAUGCCCCAUUUUAUUUUUGAUAUGCAAAUAUUGAGAUAAAAUCUGGCUGGCUGUAUCUGUCCUGAAGUCAAACCAUAGAAUUAUAAGUUCCAGCUCUUUCCUGUUCUGUUUCAAAUCAGGCCCUAAAGUCAACUGCAUAAAUACAAGUCUCUACUCCAAUGUCCCAACUUGUUUCUUGUCUGCCUGAACAAUUCAAGUAACCAUAUUUAAUAUAGGGUCUCUGAAAAUAAACUUAAAAUAAUCCGGCCAUGUGAUCUGGAAUAGAAUCAACUGCAGAACAAUAUAAAUUUUCAUCAGUGCGCGUUUAUUUUAUUUUCUGGUAAGAUUCUAACUAGCAAGUAAAUGAGCUAGUAACUUUGCAACCAAAAUGAGCAAUUUAGAAAACCAAAAUGAGCAAUUUAGAAACAUAACAGUUACCCAAGAAACCAAUUAAAAAGCCAGCUAUCUCAACCCUGCCAAAUGGUUGAGGAGGUCAUAGUGCAAUAAUUAACAUGAAAGUUGGCGUAUAAAAUUCAAAGAAAAAGCAACAAACUAAAUCAGCUAUACAUCAAUAAUAUUCAUGGCAGGUGGAGCAAGCUAGAAAAGGAACAAUAAAUGGCCACUAUAUGAGUAUAUAUACUUAUUCAUUGUUAACCAAAACCUUGGUGCAUCCAAAUAUCCGAGCUUACCUUUCCUAAGCAAAUUUUUCAUCGGUACCCUGAGAAGAAAAAGGUUGAAGAGUUUAUUUUAUGGGUAGGCAAUCCAGAUAUUAAAACUAGAGAAUUUAUUGACAGUCAAUUAUAAAUAGUUUAGUUUCAAUUCCAAGUUUAAUAGUGAACCACCCAAGAAAUGCUAACACCCCA